UGCAGUUGACUGCAUCCAGCUGAAAGUGCCAGUCAUUCAGCAGCUCUACCACUGGGACUGUGGGCUGGCCUGCUCCAGGAUGGUGCUGCAGUAAGUGACUCUCUUGGCUUGAAUGGUGGGAAUUCCCAUCCCGUGGGAUGGGGGUAGUGGGAAGCAACAUCCAGGGAGGUGUGCUGAAGCAGCUGUGAGUUUAAUUUAGUCUUACAAGAGUACAUACAUAUUCUCAGGUACCCUCGGAGAAUUACUGCUGCCUGGGCCUGGCACAGCUUUCCAGUAGGAGCAAGGGAAAAUUUAAACUAAGCUUAACUUCAGACCCUUUUGAAUAACUGACUGUUCUGACAGAUGCAAAAUACCUGUAAGAACUGUACAGGUCAGCAUGCAUAAUCUGAUAAAAAGUUAUUCCUCUUUCCUGCUGUUACAAUUCAGAACAGAUGCAUAGCACAGCAAUUCACCUGCCUCCUUUCUGUUGUUCCCAAGUGAUGGGUAGGCAUACCCCAGUUUAUGAGUACAUACUUGCUCUGUCCUGCUGAGCCCCCAGUCUGUGGGUGAAUGUUUUUGUUCCAGGAGUAGAUUCAACUCAAAACAAUGCACUGUAAUGCCCUUUGGGGUGGUUUUUUUGGUUUUGUUUUGGUUUUUCUUUUUUUGAACUAGUAGCUGUCCUGCUGAACUCCUCUUUCCUUCCACAGAGGAACAUGAGCUUAGGUGCAGGAGAAAUACCUAUUUAGAUGUCCACUUAGUAGAUAUGAAGCAGAAGAUUUUCAUUUCUCUCCAUCCCUUCUGCCAAGACGUUAGUCCAUGUGCUGGUAAUUUCCCAUCUUGACUACUGUAACCUCUGCCUCUACUCCCUGUACCUCUUUGCCACUCCAGUCUGUCCAAAACUCAGCUUCCAAGAUUAAUCUUCUCACCCUGCUGAUCUGACCUCAUUUACCCUGCAUCCUCAAUUCCAGUCCCCCCACCUUUUUUUUCCAUUUACUUCCAUUUGUUUUCUGACUUCCAGAACUCUCUGUAACUGCCUUUCCCUACCCCUUUGCAGCCUUUCCCAACCUUCCUCCCUUUGUUGCCUUUUGUGCCAUCAGUGCCUAAGACAAGCUUCCUUUGAAUAUUUACUGACUUCCUUUACAGUUCCUUUACAGUUCCUCCUUUUGAAAUACAUCUAUUGCGUGAAGCAAGUUUUAGUCUUUAACACUUCUUUCUGUGUUUGCUCUAAUAUGCUUGUACAUUUAGACUGUAAGCCCUUCAGGACAGAGUUCUAUACUUGCUCAGAAGAGCUUGCUGUUGUACAGCACCUGUACACUUAUAACAUAAACCAGUCAAGAUACCCAUACAUUUCCAAUUUUAAAAAGUCAGCAAUAAAUCUAGUUAAAUAUUCCCUACUCCCUUCCUUUCCCUUAAAUCUGUGGCUCCUUUGUGGGUUGUUUUCUUUUUGGUAUUUCUUAGCCGAGCCCAUUGUUUCAGUUUUUACGUCCUGUGAUGUGGAAGCUUGGGCUACAGCACACAUUUUGCUUCUCCUAAGAUCUGUGCUUCCCUUCCCUGCCUUUCCGAAUACCAUAGGUACCUGAAUCAUUUGGACAAUGAUGAAUUUCAGAAAGCCAUCCAGGAACUCCAGUUAACAAAGAGUAUCUGGACUAUUGACCUGGCCUACUUAAUGCGGCACUUUGGUGUCAAGCAUAAGUUUUGCACGCAGACACUUGGAGUGGACAAGGGCUACAAAAAUCAGAACACUUACAGCCUGGGCAGCAGCACUGCUAGCUUCCACCCCUUCCCCACCACCGUGCCUCAGCCCUGACCUGGAAGAACCACUUGUAGAGUCAUUUUACAGGAAGCACUUUGACACAGAAGAGAAUCGAGUGAAUCAGCUCUUUGCACAAGCCAAAGCCUGCAAGGUGCUGGUGGAGAAGUGCACAGUAACUGUUCAAGACAUCCAGAACCACCUGUCUCAAGGUCACGUAGCCAUUGUCCUAGUGAACGCAGUCCUGCUGUUGUGUGACCUUUGCUCAAGUCCUGUCAAAUACUGCUGCUUCCUCCCGAUUGGACAGAAGUGCUUCUGCAGGAAUCCUGACUACCAGGGCCAUUUCAUUGUUCUAUGUGGCUACAACAAAGCCUCAGGGAGUAUUUACUACAACAACCCUGCCUAUGCUGACCGAACGUGCUGCACCAGCAUCAGUAACUUUGAGGAAGCCAGGACAAGUUAUGGCACUGAUGAAGAUAUUCUGUUCAUCUACACAGACAGCUGACAUCCACACCUGAUGCUCCUGGCCCUUUCUUGUGCAGCCUGCGUGGCAGCUGGCUGCUUGUCUCAGGACUGCCCCUGCAGAGACCUUGUUCUUGAACUGCAGUGGGAUCUUAAACAAGGGAGGCUUUAUAGACAUUGAUAGGACUAUACUGCAAUGCUGUCUUUACCUUUUUUUCCUCAUGAUGUAUCUAAUUUUGCAAUGUAUAUCUGUUUUUUGUGUUUGGUUGGUUUUUGUUUGUUGUUGGGUUUUCUUUUUUUCCUCAUUUUCAACAUUGCACAUUUGACAGCAGUUUUAAAAUAUGGGCCCAGAGCCUAAUUCACUUUGAGCUUAUUUUCAAAUUAAACACGAGAAAAAAAGCAGCACCAAAUUUAUGAACUUCAACACUUGGUAAUACAUGCAUAGGUUUAGCUAAACAGAAACAGGAGGAAAAAAAAAAAAAAAAGAGAAUACCUGUUUCUCUCUCUGUCAAAGCAUCAAGGGCUGAUCUUGAUCCUAAAUCUAGGGAUUUGAGGCUCAGCAGGGUGUUAUGGAAGGAAAAAAUAUUAACUUAAAACCACUAUUAAAUUACAAAAAAAGCCUUGCUGGCUCAUCAGGUCUGUGUUAUAGGAAUGAAACACAUUUACCCAAAUUCACCUUACACAGAUAUAGCAUUUAUGCCACUGCAUUCAGUUUUGAAUCACAGUUAUUGGUAUUGUUCCCUUGUCCUACAAACUUAACCUCUUUUGGCUAAAUCCUCUAAGAGGGCUGCUCAGAGCUCUGCGUUGCCCCAAAAGUGAAGAUAUUUUAUUUGUACCUACAAUUCUUGCUCUUUGCCAAAACCUCUGAGCAUUAUGCCACCCCCAUGUGCCAGUUUCUGCAGAAUCCCUUCCAAAUAUAAACUUUAUACUUAUUAAGCCAAUGCAGAAAAUGAGCAUCUACACUAAUGGCAUGCAUUUUGUAUGUAAAUGUAAAUAUCUGACAGCGAAUAUUGGAUUAUAACUAAAAUGCUGAAUCAUUAUUUGAGCCAAAUUUUGCCAUUGGUAUUAGUUCAGUGACCUUCUAAGAAGAGCUGAAAUCAAUUAAAAAGAGGGAACACAAGUAAAAAGGCAGGAACUCAUUUUCUAGCUCUUAUGCUACAGUAUAAGUAUUGGGCUUAAACUGAAACUGUUAGUGGCCCAUUCUUAAUCCUUUCAUGUUUUACCUGGGUUUAAUCACUUUGCUGAGGAGCACUCUAAAGUGUAAGAAAUAGCCAGUUACUUACUUCAGAUUUCAUCCAUCACACUUUCCUACAAGUCCUGAUCUCCAGUCCUGUUUGUGUUGAAGUGAGUAGAAAAAUCAAUACUGAUGUAAAGCUAGCACAGUUUUCUUUUGCACUUAAGUCAGACAUCCCGCACCUUUGGCAUGGUGUUAGGAAAAGGAACUGUUCAAGUUCUAGAACUGUGUGGAAUAACAGUAGAAAGACAUAGUUACUUAGUGGUGGAGAUAAUAAAUAGGAAUCUAUUGUAAGCACAGUAAAAUCUUUUGCUAAGAGAAAGAUUUUCUUCUAUCAAUUGUUGACAUACUGAAUAAGUAGCUGGAAAGCAUUCAAUAAGUAAUAUUAGUAGAAUUAAGGGUUCUCCUUUAUACAAAAAAAUGGUAACAGAUAUUUACAUGCAGUAGCCUUUAAAAAGUCCUGAACAAAAAGUAUCUGACAAGAAAUGUUCAGUGUAUCAUAUUUUGCUUAUAAUUGGUGAAGUUGGAAUACGUUGCAAAAUGAGUAAAAAUUAGGAUGUGAUUUAUAAAUAGUAGAACCAGCACAUUAGUGGCACCAGCAGAAUCCCAGAAAAAAGGUACAAAGCCUAUUAUGGAUAAAGCUUUCUGAUUCCUUCAAAGUCAGUCACCAGAAGGCUACUGAUGUGGGAAUUUUUAAGCCACAAGUCCAAAUUCAGGAUGUUUGAUUUGGAGAGAUUGUAUUAAUUAGCUAUGUUACUAAUUAACAGAUGUGUGUACUACAGGCCAAUAGAGUACUUCCUUAACCCCUGUGGUUUCAGGUAGGUAGGUCAUUCACUACCACUGAACUGCCCCAGGAUUUAUUUCAGAGUAGGCUUGGUUAGCUAAAUAAAAACAGUUCUUCAAAGGGCUUGUAACUGACAUUUAGCCUUUUACUGGUUCAGUUAUCCAAAUACGAAUCUUGAGCUUAUGCAAAAAACAUGAACUUGAAAGCAUGCAAGUGUUCCGAAGUGCACAGAUAGGUGUAACAAUAUUGACUGCUCAAUAUUUGGUACCCAGAGUUUAAAUACUUCAACAAAACUGAAAAAUAAAGAAUCGAAGCUGUUAAAGAGAGACAGAGAGCUCCACCACUGCCACAGGAUCUCAUAGCUGCCAAAUACAAGGUAGCUAUGAAGGAUGAAAACAUAAGAAGCAAAAGCCAAGUGAAAAGGCUGAGUAUAUGACACAAAUUCAGAUUUAAAAGCAGUUCACUGCACAAGCAUUCACAACAUCUGCAUUUUCUGAAACUUUGUUUCCCAUUACAAGAUUGUCUAUCAAAAUAUUCAGAAAAUGUCACUUUGUUUCCUUCAUGAUGUCAGUAGCAAAGGAAGGGGUAUUUUACAUGCAGGGAUUUUAUACAUAAAUAUAUUUUUAUUUGUAAUUAAGCCAUUCUUAAUAAAGGAUUAAAGUCACAGAUAACCCUGUAA